GCCUCUGUAGCUCAGUUGGUAGAGCAGAGGACUGAAAAUCCUCGUGUCGUUGGUUCGAUUCCGAUCGGAGGCACCA
rnacentral:tRNA from 1 species